rnacentral:rRNA from 1 species
AGCCAUCCUUUAAAGAAAGCGUAAUAGCUCACUAGUCGAGUCGGCCUGCGCGGAAGAUGUAACGGGGCUCAAACCAGAUGCCGAAGCUACGGGCGUGCCUGUAUCACUUAAGGCUAUUCGAUUAACGUCGCGAAGCGACGUUCAAGCGCUCUCCGAACGUUGAGUCGGAUAAGCGGAUCAACAGAGUGGACUUAAGGAUGCAGGCACGCGGUAGAGGAGCGUCGUGUAAGUCUGUGAAGGGGCGUUGAGAAGCGCGCUGGAGAUAUCACGAGUGCGAAUGCUGACA